UUAGAUAGCUCAGUCGGUAGAGCACAGGACUGAAAAUCCUGGUGUCGGUGGUUCAAUCCCACCUCUG
rnacentral:tRNA from 2 species